rnacentral:misc_RNA from 1 species
GAUGAAGAACGUAGCUAAAUGCGAUAAGUAAUGUGAAUUGCAGAAUUCAGUGAAUCAUCGAAUCUUUGAACGCACCUUGCACCCUUUGGCAUUCCGAAGGGUAUGCUCGUUUGAGUGUCAUUGUACUCUCACACUCUCCGAUCCUAUGGAUUCGGGGAGCGGUGGACUUGGGUGUUGCUGCCUUUCCUUGUGGCUCACCUCAAAUGUGUCAGUGCACCUCUUGGUUGGACAUAGUACGGCGUGAUAAGUGUCUUCGCCGGCACCUCGCAAGAGGGUGGCCGAUCGGGAGCUCUGUGCUUUCAAACCGUCUUCGGACAAUUUCUGACAACUUGACCUCAAAUCGAGUAGGACUACCCGCUGAACUUAAGCAUAUCAAUAAGCGGAGGA